rnacentral:rRNA from 1 species
UACGAAGGGGGCUAGCGUUGUUCGGAAUUACUGGGCGUAAAGCGCACGUAGGCGGAUAUUUAAGUCAGGGGUGAAAUCCCAGAGCUCAACUCCGGAACUGCCUUUAAGACUGCAUCGCUUGAAUCCAGGAGAGGUGAGUGGAAUUCCGAGUGUAGAGGUGAAAUUCGUAGAUAUUCGGAAGAACACCAGUGGCGAAGGCGACAUACUGGCUCAUUACUGACGCUGAGGCUCGAAAGCGUGGGGAGCAAACAGG